rnacentral:lncRNA from 1 species
UAUGUAUACAUUUUAUUCAUGACGUGUAUACAUUCAUCCAUCUAUAUAUAGAUACUUCAUCCUUCAAUGUCAGCGGUUUGAUAGUAGUAGUCACAGCACAUCUUUUAUUUGCAUCUAACGCCCUUGGUUACACACACACAGCUGAUAUGGAAGAAGAAGAAGAGAGAAGCUAGUUGUUACUUGUAUAUGAUCGGGAUAAAGAUGAGAUCAUCUUAUAAGUAACUCAUUUUCUUUCAAUGUUAUGUGUUAAUAAUAUUAAUAAUUACAUGCUACUAUCUCUAUCUGAAAAGUAAAGUACAGUCACAAAGUAACAAAACACGUCGUUUCUUUCAACAAGAGGAAGAAAAUGCCCAUAAUCAUUUCUAAGACACUUUGCCGAAUUGACACUUUGGGACUUCGGAAUAGAGGAGUGUUGAUCAAGAAUUGACCAUGUACAUAUAUGCUCCAACACAUUUCCAUUUAAAAAAAAACCUUUUUAAAAUUUAUUUAUUUAUUUGUGGGUUGUCAUGAUUUUUGUUACAAUGGUUCUAGCCAACAGUUGAAGCAUCUUCAUUAUGAAAUGAAUUAAUUAUUAUUCAUUAAUAAAAAUAUUAUUUUCAAAUAAUUAAUGAAACAUUUUAUUUUUUGAAAUUGAAGGAGCAUAAAUGGGAAUCAUAAUGACAAAGUAUUGGAUCAUGGAUCAUCAUCAAAUAUAUUUAUCAUUUUUUUUGAAAAAGUGCCCGUUCAGUAAAGUAUGCAUGAAUACGUUUCCCUAUACUUUAUCAGUUCUAUGAUCUAAAGGACUCGAGGCAAAGAUUGGACACUCAGAGUAUGUAUUUCCUCCUCAUUCCUGAUUGGCUUAAAAUGGCCAGCGUCAAUAUAUUCAUAAUUGAAAAAUCUUAGAGGCUUUCAAUUGAGUGAAUUUAACAAUUAGUUUAGUUAUUUAGUAUACUUGCAAUAUAUUUUUCAUAAUGUUUAUGUGUAGUACAGCGAUGUAAAAAUCGGUCAGCUACGGAUAAAAAGUAUCCUUUCUCUUAAAUGAAAAUCUUUAACAUUCCAAUGACAUAAAUAGAUAGAAGUUGCGGAUCGAUGCCAUGUGCACACUGAACUCCAAAGAACCAACCAACUUGAUUAUUUAUAGAGUUUUAUUAUAAUUAAUUAUUUAAAUGUAUUAUAUUUCUUAUUAAUAUUAUUUAAGUUGAUUGUAUAAAAAUAAGAUUUUUCAGAGUUCACUGAAGUAUGUAAUAUUUAACGAAUAAAUUAUAUUCUAUUUGAAA